rnacentral:rRNA from 1 species
AUUGAACGCUGGCGGCAUGCCUUACACAUGCAAGUCGAACGGCAGCACGGGAGCAAUCCUGGUGGCGAGUGGCGAACGGGUGAGUAAUAUAUCGGAACGUGCCCAGUCGUGGGGGAUAACGCAGCGAAAGCUGUGCUAAUACCGCCUACGAUCUACGGAUGAAAGCGGGGGAUCGCACGACAUCGCGCGAUUGGAGCGGCCGAUAUCAGAUUAGCUAGUUGGUGAGGUAAAGGCUCACCAAGGCGACGAUCUGUAGCUGGUCUGAGAGGACGACCAGCCACACUGGAACUGAGACACGGUCCAGACUCCUACGGGAGGCAGCAGUGGGGAAUUUUGGACAAUGGGCGCAAGCCUGAUCCAGCAAUGCCGCGUGCAGGAUGAAGGCCUUCGGGUUGUAAACUGCUUUUGUACGGAACGAAACGGCGAGCUCUAAUACAGUUUGCUAAUGACGGUACCGUAAGAAUAAGCACCGGCUAACUACGUGCCAGCCGCCGCGGUAACAC